rnacentral:rRNA from 1 species
GACGUAGGGCGCGAGCGUUGUCCGGAUUUAUUGGGCGUAAAGAGCUCGUAGGCGGCUUGUCGCGUCGAAUGUGAAAUUUCAGGGCUCAACUCUGACAUUGCAUUCGAUACGGGCAGGCUCGAGUUCGGUAGGGGAGACUGGAAUUCCUGGUGUAGCGGUGAAAUGCGCAGAUAUCAGGAGGAACACCGGUGGCGAAGGCGGAUCUCUGGGCCGAUACUGACGCUGAGGAGCGAAAGCGUGGGGAGCGAACAGG